AGUGAACGCUGGCGGUAGGCCUAACACAUGCAAGUCGAACGGCAGCACAGUAAGAGCUUGCUCUUACGGGUGGCGAGUGGCGGACGGGUGAGGAAUACAUCGGAAUCUACUUUUUCGUGGGGGAUAACGUAGGGAAACUUACGCUAAUACCGCAUACGACCUACGGGUGAAAGUAGGGGAUCUUCGGACCUUGCGCGAUUGAAUGAGCCGAUGUCGGAUUAGCUAGUUGGCGGGGUAAAGGCCCACCAAGGCGACGAUCCGUAGCUGGUCUGAGAGGAUGAUCAGCCUCACUGGAACUGAGACACGGUCCAGACUCCUACGGGAGGCAGCAGUGGGGAAUAUUGGACAAUGGGCGCAAGCCUGAUCCAGCCAUACCGCGUGGGUGAAGAAGGCCUUCGGGUUGUAAAGCCCUUUUGUUGGGAAAGAAAAGCAGCAGGUUAAUACCCCGCUGUUCUGACGGUACCCAAAGAAUAAGCACCGGCUAACUUCGUG
rnacentral:rRNA from 1 species